rnacentral:rRNA from 1 species
GACGAACGCUGGCGGCGUGCCUAAUACAUGCAAGUCGAGCGAAGUUUUUCUGGUGCUUGCACUAGAAAAACUUAGCGGCGAACGGGUGAGUAACACGUAAAGAACCUGCCUCAUAGACUGGGACAACUAUUGGAAACGAUAGCUAAUACCGGAUAACAGCAUUAACUGCAUGGUUGAUGUUUGAAAGUUGGUUAUGCUAACACUAUGAGAUGGCUUUGCGGUGCAUUAGCUAGUUGGUGGGGUAAAGGCCCACCAAGGCGACGAUGCAUAGCCGACCUGAGAGGGUGAUCGGCCACACUGGGACUGAGACACGGCCCAGACUCCUACGGGAGGCAGCAGUAGGGAAUCUUCCGCAAUGGGCGAAAGCCUGACGGAGCAACGCCGCGUGAGUGAAGAAGGAUUUCGGUUCGUAAAGCUCUGUUGUUAGGGAAGAAUGGAUAUGUAGUAACUAUACAUGUAAGAGACG